rnacentral:rRNA from 1 species
UCUACGGGCGGCAGCAGUGGGGAAUAUUGCACAAUGGGCGCAAGCCUGAUGCAGCCAUGCCGCGUGUAUGAAGAAGGCCUUCGGGUUGUAAAGUACUUUCAGCGGGGAGGAAGGGAGUAAAGUUAAUACCUUUGCUCAUUGACGUUACCCGCAGAAGAAGCACCGGCUAACUCCGUGCCAGCAGCCGCGGUAAUA